rnacentral:rRNA from 1 species
AUUGAACGCUGGCGGCAGGCCUAACACAUGCAAGUCGAACGAGUGGCGGACGGGUGAGUAAUGUCUGGGAAACUGACUGAUGGAGGGGGAUAACUACUGGAAACGGUAGCUAAUACCGCAUACCAUCGGAUGUGCCCAGAUGGGAUUAGCUAGAAGGUGGGGUAAAGGCUCACCGAGGCGACGAUCCCUAGCUGGUCGUAGAGGAUGACCCACCACACUGGAACUGAGACACGGUCCAGACUCCUACGGUAGUCAGCUGUGGGGAAUAUUGCACAAUGGGCGCAAGCCUGAUGCAGCCAUGACGCGUGUAUGAAGAAGGCCUUCGGGUUGUAAAGUACUUUCAGCGGGGAGGCGUUACCCGCAGAAGAAGCCCCGGCUAACUCCGUGCCAGCAGCCGCGGUAAUAC